rnacentral:lncRNA from 1 species
ACAUUUUAAUAGACAUUCUUGAAAAUGAUCUUAUGUAAUCAGUACUUUUUUAAGCUUCACAGAAGGAUUUAGAAGACAAUUUGUGCUUCUACUGUAUAUUAAUUAAGGAAAUCAACUUCACUGUAGAUACCAGGAAGGACUUAAGAGGUCUAAAGAACUUCAAGAGCUGAAGGAGGAGGAAGAGAAAGCGGAAGAGAAGCCGAAGGACUCUGAGGAGGAAGCAAGAGGAAAUACUGAUAAAGACAGGAAGACUAAUAGCAGGUUCGAGGAGGCAUUAGAGGUCUUUGACCGGAUAUUCCCAAAAUUCUUCCGAGGAAAUCGAGUGCUCUGGAUCGUCCUCACUCUGUUUUUCGCUUCAUUCAUACUUGUUAAUGUCAUAAGCUUCUUCAGUAACCGCUACAGUGAGAGCGGAGACACGUCUGCAGAGAAGUCCGCCGUCCCAGGCAAGACGUUUUUUGGACUGAAUGUAGGGUCGAAGACUCCUGCCCCAGAAUGACAUUAUUUCCUUCCAUCACGGAGAGACAGAUCAAGGGAAUUCUGCUGGCAAUUUCCUUACCAAACACAGCUCAUAUUGUUUCUACCAGUCUUUCACACUGCAUUUAGAAAAUAGCAGAACUACUUGUUAUUGUUUAGGGACCAAGUGUAAUUAGAUGAGCAAUCAGAUUUGCUUUGUAAACUAAAUUGAUAAGUUAUAAUACUUGAGGUUGGGAUUUCUUGAAAUCCGUUUUCUUAAGACUGUCACGUUUGAUAUAUGAUUAUACCACUCGAACCUUAUGAUUAAACUUCUCAGGUUUUGUGAAAUAUAUAUUUGAAAUAUUAGGUACAAUAUUUAAUACAGAAUUUGGUACAGUAUGUUUUAAAGUCUUUGCGAUUGUUUAUGUUGUUUAUUUGAGUUGACAUUCCAAGGUAGAUCCUAAAGUGCAAUAUUUUGCGACUGGUAGUUGAGUUUAAUAGUACAGAAUUUUUCACAAUUUUCAAGAGCACUUUUAACUAGCAUGAGAGAGUUCAUAUUUGCACAUGUGUGCUUGUGUUUACUGUUGUGCCACUUCACCUUGUAAUAAAGGUGUUUGAAAAUCACACGUGGUUGUUUCUAGAGUACAUGUGCUAUUCAAUGCGUGGUAGAAAUUUAAGCCUAUUUUUUUAGGACAAUUAAAGUUCAUGACUUUGUCAUAAUGAUGACUUUUAUGCCAUAAUAAUAAGAAUUACUUCUUAUGUCCUAAUGACAACUUAGUAUCUCAUAAUUUCAACAUCAUCAUUUUUAUGUAAUAAUUUUACCAAAGCAUUUUUUUCUUAUGUGG